UUUUCACCACUACUGAAAUUUACAGACUAUAAGCCACUACUUUUUUCGUACGUUUUGAACACUGCGGCUUAAACAAUGAUUCGGCUAAUUUAUGGAUUUUUACAGGCUUUCAUGUCAUUUACUC